AUGAACAGCCGAGAGAAAUAUGACUGUAUUUUGUUUUGGGGGAAUGGUGUUGCUUUGACAAGGUGGAGGUGACGUGGUGUUCUGCAGGCAGGGGAAGGACACAGUGAGAAGGAGCUGGAGAUCUGGGAGGGGACCAGAGGAGGCCAUAAAGAAUUAACAGCUCCAAGUUUCACCUGCAAAGUCAGCUGCAAAUGACAGAGGAGAGGUGCGGCCACGGAGAGUGGGGGGCCCCAGGCAGGGACACUGCAGGUCCCCAGCUGGUGAGUGGAUGGGCAGGUGGAGGGAGAAGGGUGUGGAGGGGUGAGCCCGGGACGCUGAGGUCCGGGUCAGCGCCCGGGUUCCUCGGAGCCACUUCCCGAAGGUUAACUUCUGCUGAGCAGCGGUGACACGCACGGAACCGGCCUGCCCGCGCGGACUUUCAGGAGGGGAGUCUCAGAACGAGGUCUUCUUCUUUAAAAUUACUCACCCAGCUAAAGAAAGCGAAACCUAAGCAUCCUGUUCAGCAUGAAAUCUGAGGGGAAAAAAACCACGGCCCAAUGUAACACUCAUCGGUCCCAUGGGCAGCUGCAAAAAUCAUCUCUAACACAUCCAGAUCUGUCUUCUAAUAACUUCCAGACGCCAACUCGGGGACGAGACGGAUGAUUUACAACGAAAGAGAGAAAUCCUGAAAAUAAAACAAUGAAAUACAAUGAAACAGAAUAAACCCACAAAUUCGGAGACUGUAGACAGGGAAGUCGGAACAAAUCCACUUUGGAUGCCUAAGUAUUCGAGGAGCAGGAGGCCCAAGGAGUGGUGCUGAGACGACACGGCUGGACGGGAAGGACUUGGAGCGGGCGUCCACUCUGCAGCCCGUCCCGGCGAGAACCUCCCGCCCUGCCAGGCCCCGGCCUGAUGUGCUCUUACGUGUUCUUAGCAGGUGCUGCGCACCCGCGAGAAAAACUGGGCCAUGUCACACAAGGUGCAGUGUCCUCAACCGGCUCCCGAUGCCUCUGACUCACGCCCCACCUGGCGGGGCCCCGACCCGACCACGCCUGGGCGUUGCGCGCAGCCAGGAGCGCCCAUCCAGCGUCGGAGACAGGCCCCGGCAGGCGCACAGGCUCGGCCGCCCCGCCCUGCCUUCCCCGGCACUCCGCGGUGCUGGUGUGGAGUCGGGCGGGCGGGAGAGCCCGCAGCACAAGCCGGAUGGGGAGGCCCCUCAGGGGGCUCAGGAACGGAGUGCGGAUGAAAGCAGACACAACAGCAUAAGAAGCCCCCACGCUUCAAAAGUGACCAGUUCAAGGCCGAUCUGGUUUCCGCUCCCCCUGGCUCCGCGUCCUCCCCGCCCGCAGUGUGCUGGGGCAGACGCAGGUCUCCGGGAAUCCAGGAAUUCGCUCUCGGGUGCCGGGAGGUGCGGGAUGUCAACAAACACCAGGGAUUUCUGCAGCCUCGUGUCCACCACAUGGAGGAGGUCAGUUUCACGCAAGAGAGGAUGAAACCAACACCAGGAAAAACGAGAGCGAGCCCUGUGGCCGGGUCGCUCAGUUGGUUAGAGCGUUGUUCCCAUACACCAGGGUUGCAGGUUCGAUCCCCGGUCAGGGCCCAUGCCAGAAUCAACCAAUGAAUGCAUCAGUGAGUGGGACAGCAGAUCAGUGUUUCUCUCUCUCCCUUCCCCUCUCUAAAACGGAGAAAUAAAAGAAAAGGUUUUUUAAAGGAAAAGUGAAAGAGCGUCCUGGUAGCUUCUGAGCCUGUGUUUCCCAGUGUCCUGCAGGCUUCUCCGCAGUUCGGCCUUCAACCUGCGGCUUCCCCUGGGCACACGUGUCCCCUCCCGCCUCCACCAGGCCGGGCCGCUGACCGUCCCCACCAGGCCUCCUGACUGAGACGCAGCAGCCCCCACCUGACGCCAGGGGCCACACCAGGGGAGUGUGGGGAUGGCGGGGCACAGCCCCUCGAGGACCGUCGGCUUCCCUCCGCCCCGGCCCCUCCUGACGACCUGGCAGCAGGAAGUGACCUCUCCCGCCUCCGACGCGGGCACUCCACCUGAGCACCCUCCUUCCGUGACUCAUUCUGCUCCGCCCUGCGGCUGUGUGGGUGGGUGUCUGCUGGUGGCUCCCGGCCGGCCCCGACGCCUCCCGCGCACGGGUGGGUUUCUAGCCCCCACCCCAACCCCGACGCCACGCGCCGUGUGACGUGCUCGGGAGUGCACAGGGCCGGUGCCAUCCGCGGUGCGAGAGAAACGGACGGACAGGGGUUUGGGGCGGCUUCUCUGCGGCCUUUGGAAGUCAAGUCUGUGCAGCAGCGAGGGACUGGACGGUCGUCGCGGGGAAACACAGGCGUCAGAAAGCCCCGGAAACUGCCUCACGGCGGCAAUGUGACAUUAACUCCGUGGGAGAUACAGGCUGCCACGUGGCAGCCGCAGCUACGGCCCUUUUCGACAAGCCCCUUGACAAAACCGUGCCGGGCUGUGUUUUCCUUCACCUCGGAGCAGAGGGGCGUGUUUUCGGUGAAUAACUCCUCCAGCUCGGGCGCGCUGGACUCACCUGGGGGAUCCUGGGGAAGGCGGAGGCGGCCGCCUGAGCAGGUCUGGCCAAGGUCUCACGGGGCGGAUUCCUGGGGCUCCUGUGUUGGUCCUUGGACCACUCUGAGUGCUGGGGAUGUAUACAGUGGUGCCCAAACACGGCUUCCCACCGAACACUACUGAUGCCCGCGUCCUGCCCCCAGACACUGGCCUGGACUCCGGGCUGGGCCCUGGGCCUUGGGAAUGCCGAGAGAUCCUCAAGCGUUCUGAGGGCGCAGGCCUGUCUGGGAAGAACCGAAGCAAAUUUGGCGCAGAGUUCGAUUCAGGACAGCCGGACCCGAGUCCCCUGCCACCCGCUGGCCGGCGGGGUGACUGCGGGCACGCCGGUUGGCGGUGCACCGGUUUCUGAAAGGCCUGGAGACAUGCGCCGUAUCUCUGGCGGUCCCUCCGGACUCCGCCUCCCCAGGUGUGCGGUGAGGAGCAGGCUCCCCGGCCGCCCCGUCUCU